rnacentral:tRNA from 5 species
GUUAGGUUGGAGUAGAGGUUAACUCGUCACCCUCCCAAGGUGGAAACGCGGGUUCGAACCCUGCACCUAGCA